GACGAACGCUGGCGGCGUGCUUAACACAUGCAAGUCGAGCGAUGAAGCACCUUCGGGUGUGGAUUAGCGGCGAACGGGUGAGGAACACGUGAGGAAUCUGCCUUCCACUCUGGGAUAACUCCGGGAAACCGGGGCUAAUACCGGAUAUUUUCAACUGGCGGCAUCGCCGGUUGAAGAAAGUUUUUCGGUGGAAGAUGACCUCGCGGCCUAUCAGCUUGUUGGUGAGGUAAAGGCUCACCAAGGCGACGACGGGUAGCCGGCCUGAGAGGGUGACCGGCCACACUGGGACUGAGACACGGCCCAGACUCCUACGGGAGGCAGCAGUGGGGAAUAUUGGGCAAUGGAGGAAACUCUGACCCAGCGACGUCGCGUGAGGGAUGAAGGCCUUCGGGUUGUAAACCUCUUUCAGCAGGGAAUAAGCGAAAGUGAAGGUACCUGCAGAAGAAGCACCGGCUAACUAUGUGCCAGCAGCCGCCGCAG
rnacentral:rRNA from 1 species